UGAUUGGUCCGACGCUCUGGCGCGGUCCGGCCCGCCCGCACUCUGUUGCCGUGGUUGCAGGCUCCGCCCGCCCGUUCGCUGACAGCGAGGCUUCUGGAGGGAAGCGGGUCCGUUGGUCGGUUUGGAACGAGGCUGGCGCUGCCAGGCCCGCGCCUAGCCGUUGCCAUGGCAGCCACCGGCGGGGGCGCGGACGAUGAGUCGCAGUCGGGCCGCUCGAGCUCAGACGGCGAGUGCGCGGUGGCGCCGGAGCCGCUGGCGGAAGCCGAAGGCCUGUUCUCCUUCGCGGACUUUGGCGUUGCGCUGGGCAGCGGCGCAGGCCUCCCGGGCCGGGCGGUGGGCAGGGCCCAGUCCCCGCUGCGCUACCUCCAGGUCCUGUGGCAACAGGACGUCGAGCCUCGCGACGAACUGCGUUGCAAGAUUCCCGCCGGGCGGCUGAGGCGUGCCGCCAGGCCCCACCGUCGUCUCGGGCCCACGGGCAAAGAGGUGCACGCUCUGAAGAGGCUGAGGGACUCGGCCAAUGCCAAUGAUGUAGAAACAGCAGCUGCUGGAAGAUGGUGCAGAUCCCUGCGCAGCUGAUGACAAAGGCCGCACAGCUCUCCAUUUUGCAUCCUGCAAUGGCAAUGACCAGAUUGUGCAGCUGCUCCUGGACCAUGGGGCCGACCCCAACCAACAGGAUGGUCUGGGCAACACGCCAUUGCACCUGGCCGCCUGCACCAACCAUGUUCCUGUCAUCACCACACUGCUUCGAGGAGGGGCCCGUGUAGAUGCCCUAGACAGAGCUGGCCGCACGCCCCUGCACCUGGCCAAGUCGAAACUGAACAUCCUACAGGAGGGUCAUUCCCAGUGUCUGGAGGCCGUCCGGUUGGAGGUGAAACAGAUCAUCCACAUGCUACGGGAGUACCUGGAGCGCCUGGGGCGCCAUGAACAACGGGAACGGCUAGAUGACCUCUGCACCCGCCUCCAGAUGACAAGUACCAAAGAACAGGUGGAUGAAGUGACGGACCUCUUGGCCAGCUUCACCUCUCUCAGUCUGCAGAUGCAGAGUAUGGAGAAGAGGUAGCAAGGACGGCUGCUCCUUGUUUUGCCGCUGCCCUCUGAACUCGCUACUGGGAAAGCCCCAGGGAUGCUGGAGUUCCACCUUGCCCUUAGAUGCCGGGGGCAGAACUGACAGUGCAUCAUCUCUCUGGGUCGGGACCACAGCCCCUGCUCCUGCUGCAUAAUGCCAGCCUCUGUAGCCACAUUCUAGGCCCACACAUGCUGUCCUAGCAGACACCACUCCUCCUGUGGCCUCCCUGUGCUCUCAGCACGCCUCAGAGCCCCUCUCUAGUUCUUCCCAGCCACGGACUUUUAAUAUCAUCAUCUGGCUUUGGGUAGGCACUCUGAGGCUACCCGGGCUGCUGUGGAUCUGUAAGCUUGCCCCGCCCCUUACACCAGCACUUCAGUUUAGCCCUGCUCCUGACUUUCAAGGAAACACUGCACUGCGAGGUGUCUCUUAGCAGAAGAGGGACAUUGCUCAAGCUUAGGAAGGACCCUAUUCAGCCCAAAGAACGAUCUGCAGCUCCUUCCCACCCAGUCACUGAAACACUACCAACGGGGAUCUGUUUCACAGCCUAGUUGUCAGUGGUCGAUAGUGGGUCAUGGACCAGCUCCUUAUCCCAGGAUACUCUAGGUCUUAGGUGUCGUGACAAGAGGCUGUACAGAUAUGUGACUCGAGUAUUUAGCGGAGACAGGAUCCUGGAUCACUUAGGUGGGCUGAGUAUCACCCCAGGGAGCCCUGUGGGAGGAGGGAGGAGGUGACUGGCGCCCUAUGGAUGUGAGACAUCAAGAAAGAAGCCGGGAGCUGGCAGACGACAGCCAGUGGGUCCCUCGGAACCUCCAGCGGGGACCCGCUCUGCUGACAACUGCACUAGAGCCAGCCAGACAUGUUUUCCUUUCUGACCUCCAAAAUUGUGAAAAGAAAUCUGUUGGUUAAGCUGGA